rnacentral:lncRNA from 1 species
GUAAGCUGUUGAAGCAGCUUUCUACUUUAAAGUCCAUUCAUUUUAAACAUAUUUUCAUGAUUUUAACUUCAUAUUUGUAUGCCAGGUGACUGGCAUUGUCACGCAGACUCUACUGGCGUGGUCGAGUGGAACAGAAAGAAGGAAAAUGAAUAAAAUCAUCUGUCUGAAUGUUGUAUCUUCAAGAUUAAAAUGGACAUAAAUUGGAGUAGAUACUGGGAAAUGAUUGCAGCCUAUAAUUGAGUUCCUGUUACCUGAAUUUGUCAAGGAC